UGCUGUCAGCCUCCUCUCAGAUAUGCAUUCUCUGCUCUCCUGUACACUUUUCUCCUAAGCUCUCAGAAGCAUCUUUCAUCUUACCACAAUUCAACCCACAAUUUCUUGGCCUUGGAAAGGGUUCAGUACAGAGAAGAGAAACCAAGAAUAGCUUUUGGAAGUCUCAUGCCAUGGCUGACAACUGUGACCACCUGAGAUGAUCAUCCAGUCGCUGUGGAAUUUAGCAGGAUGCCACUGUGAGAUCAGGCUGGAGAACAGAGCUGUGGUGAACGGAGAAGGGAGAGGGUCGGACCAAAUCCCCUCCAUCCAUGGUUGAGCUGAGAGAUGCUGGCAAAGUUCGCCAAUCUUUUCCUGCUUCAUUUUUACCCAGCUGAAAAGCAGAGAGAAGAUUCGUAGGCUGCCUUCAGACUGAUGCCCUGUGGGCGCUGAGCUCCCGCUGCACCUGCUCCCAAAGAUUCUCCUGAUGUCAUGUGGCUGAGCCUUUGUAAGAGGGGAUUCAUAGCAGCCUCCCGACGCUCAUGGUAAGGUAGGUGCUUGUGGUAGGUGCCGCAGCCUUCGCCAGCCCCCAACUUUAGAGUGAAGCUCCAGUUGACCCUCAAAGUUCCUUGAAGCAAACCUCUGUGUAAGUGAAAGGGUCCCAGAGCCACCACAGUGGGGGCAGGUGUCUUGGUGGCAGCUUAAACUGUUUUGCAGCCUGUGCUUUUAGGAACCCAGGCCAGGAGUUAAGACUCCUGCUGUUAACAGUCACUUUAUCCUCUCCGCCCACACCACAGAGCCUGGCAGGAAGGCAGUCCAGAACAGUGGGUCAACAGAUGUACACGGUCUGCUGAGUGGAGACCCACCAGGGAGGACUAAGGCGGUGGAAAAGGCCACUCUGCCUAGACUUUGAAUUCCUCAGUUCCUUGGGGCUAAACAUAACACUGCUUCCUCAGUGGAGCCCCUCUUCCCUUGCAUUUAUAAACCUUAACUCAUGCAUUGAUGCCAUUUAACCACCAGGUAGCUAGCUAGAACUGAAAAUGUAACCUUUAAUUUGAAGGCCUAUACUUGAAGAAAUUGCUUGUCUGCAGUGCUGAGGUUCUGGGAAGGUAGCAAUGAGAAGGAGGGAUUGAAAGAAGGGAGAGUCACAGCUGAAAAACAGAAUCUGGUGCCUCUGUGCUCUGUAAUGUCUCAUCUUUCCUUUCCAGAAGCCCCCAAGCUCUGACUUAGCUAAAAUUAUUUUGGUUCAUUCGGCCACGCCUCAAGAUGUUCGGCCAGGACACUUUGAUUGGACUGAAGGGAAAUGGGUUAUUUAAGUGGCCCGAACUUCAGAACAAGAUGUGUGUUUAUACCUAUUCUGUUGCUCCAUUUCGGCUCCAUCAGAUGAUAGAGAGAAAAGACUUCCUGGGCUCUCUAUAGCGGAAACCUGUUGGCAAGGCAAAGACCACCUGGCCCCCGGCCAAGCCCAGCAGAGAUGCUGCUUGAGAGAGACAAGUCAGUGAGCAUUUGUGCAGGCUCUGGUACCUGGAACAAAAAUACGCCGAGCGGCAAAUUAUGGCUUUCAGAUGUCACCACUGCCAUCUGACAUUGUGUUUCAGCUGUUCACGUCUUCAUUACUGUGCUGCAGCCUCCCAUUAAGGCUGUUACUGUGUGUGAGACACAUUUAUGUUAUGUGGUUUUCUGUACACCCCAAGCAACAACGCUCACCAAGGGUUAUCAGGCUGAUUGCCAAAACCCUAUGGUGGAGAUGCUCUGAGUCUAUAGGUUGCUUUGUGGGCGUCCCUGUGUGCAUGUGUGUGUGUGUAUGUGUGUGUGUACAUCCCUCCUCCAUGCCCCAUCUUGUAACAGCUGAAAGGAAUCAGCCUCCACACUACAGGAACUUGUUCUUUGUGUGGUUUUCUCAUCUCCCUUUGCUCCCUUACGGCCCCCCCUCCUGGCCCAUCUGCCAGAUCCUUCCUCCCCCUCUCUCUUGCUCCUCUUUGAGGUGGUAACCAGACCAACACAGCAAUGCCCUUGUGACUCCCUUUUCAGUUUCUCAGCCUCACUCAGAUUAAUGGAACAGAAACAUGUGCUUGCAUCUGAUGCCAGUAAUCAUAUCCUGAGUGACCACAGAGAGAGAGAUUAAGCAAAGGUACUGGCCCGGUCCCGGGGGAUACGGUUACAGGAAGAAAGUGUUUCUUGACAGCAGCCGCUCUGGCUCCCUCUCGCUUGCCCUCCUUCAUUCCUAGCUAGGCUCAUUAAGUCCCUUGAAUAUUUUCCAUAAGAUUAGUUAAAAUCUACCCAGCAAUGGUCCAAGUCACUUAAGAACUGGGUUUUGAUCUACAUUCUGAUCUUUACUCAUAGAUGUGAACAGAGCAUAUUUCCAUAUUCUUUACUUUGAUUUAGUCCCUGUGAUUAUAUAUUUUGGAUGUGUGUUUUCAAAUAGUGAAAGGUAAACAAGUGUAUGGUUAUCUAGUCUGAUGACUUAAGUCAACAAGUAUCAACUGUAAGCAAAUGACUCCUUUAGUAGGACAACAUCCUUGGCCCAGGGGCAGGGCAAUGAGGCACAUACUCAAAUACUGUGACAUGAGAUUAAGUGUGAUGAGUGUGCAGGGAUAAACUGAGUGAAGCCAGGGAGAACAGGGAAGGAAAAGCACUCCUGGCUGGGGAAACCCUGGGAGGCAUCCUGGAAGAAGUGGUAUUUGAGAUGACCCUAAAGGGAAAGGUAAGAUUUUGGUAGAUGUAAAUAAAAAGAAAAGGCAUUACUUGAGAAAGGUCCAGCUUGAGCAAAAGCCUGGAGUUGGGAAGGCAGAGUGUUUCGAGAUGAGUGGGAAUUUGAGGUAAACUGCAGAAAUGUGUACCUAUAGGGAAAGUGAUGGAAAGUGGACUGAGAGAGCCUUGAACUAUGAUGAGUGUAAAGCCAGGCUUAGGACUUAUUAUCAGCAGUGGGAGCCAUUGCAGGUCUUAGAGCAGGGAGACACAACAUAGUGCUUUCCUGAUGGAACUUGAAGAGUGUCCUCAAAGAAGCACAGACAAUAGAUUGUGGGGAAAGGGGUGCGGGAGGAGGAGAGAGUAGAGAUGGAUCCCUUAGGAGGUUACAGCAAUGGUCUGAAAAAGAGUAGAAUAUAAGCACUUGAUGGGAAUACAAACAUCGUGAUAUAGGAGAGAUAUGGAAAAGACAGAACUUGCAAUUGGUUGGAUCUAGGAGGUAAGGCCACUGGGUAAGCCAGAGAUGACGCUGAGAUUUGGAGACUGAACACUGGAGUGGCGGGCUCUUAGGAGAGGAGGAUAGAAGGGAGGACAGAACUGGAGCAGAAAAUGACCCAUUCCGUUUGGGAUAUUUAGACAUUCAGAAGAGGCACCCGAGACCUGGUGCCCGACAGGGGUUGGAGCUCAGAGCUGGUGCUGACAAGAGAGGCUGGAAGUGAGGACCAUCUGCACGGAGGUGUCAGGUGAGGCCCAGGGUAGGUGAGAUAACGAAGGAGGCAGCACAGAGGGAGGGAUGCUACGCUCAGAUCCUUGGGGAGGCACACACAUUAAAAAGUGAAAACAACGGGAGUUUCCUGCCACGGAAACCCAGAGGGGAGAGAUUUCCUGUGGAAUGCUGAACCAGCUGAGGAUGAGGACUGGGGCAAGGCUGCCGGAUUUGUGGCUGAGGAGGAGGUCCUUGGAGUCCUUCCUGGGGCUCCAUCAGGAGCGAGGUGGGGCGGAAGCCGGAUUAGAAGCCCCGAAGAGCGAGUGGGUGAUGAGGAAGUGUAGGCAGCAAGUGUGUUUCCUGAAGAGCUUUUAAAAAUAGGACGGAGGCCCCUCAUUUGUGCAUAGUUUGAGGGCCUCCUGCCAGGGAAAUCCAGGAGACUACGGAGGCUGUGAGGGGCCAAAAGCCACCAUCUCUCGUGGUGUUUGUAAGAUUCCUUCCAAGCCAGCAACCCUGAUACGUUGGUUUCCUCAUGGUAGCAGGUGAGAAAGUGGUUGUAUUUGUUGUCAGCAGGUACUUGUUAAUGUCACAAACCAGACCUCUCCUUCAACGAGGUCCAGAGCAGAUUGCCCCGAGGAAUGAGCACUGACUUGGAGUUUUCUAGACUGUUAUGCAUCUGGUUUUAGGGGCCACCAUAAAGGGGUGACUGUGGAGGAAUCACUGCUUUUCCAGGAUAUUGGCAGGACUUGCACGAAGGAUAAACAAAGAGGCAUGUCAGCUUCCAGGGUCUCUUUUCUGUUUCUCAGAAAAAAAAAGAGUCUAACCUUUUGAAGACAGACUUGAGGUUAAUUGCUCUUUCCUCAGGAGAGCCUGCCAAAGAGAAAAUGAACCCGGUGACCCUGACGACCCACCACCCCAGCUGUUCUCCAUCACCUGACAGUUGAGCCUUCAAGAUGCUGGCGAGUUCUGCCUGUGCAUGGCUUUGACCAGCUCCAGCCAGAAAGAGGAACUUUCAGAGUCCAGGUUUGGGGCCUGUGGAUGAGUUACCUGUUACCAAGAAAGGUUACUGAGUCUCCAUCACUCAUGUGGGAAUGAGGCCACUUCCUACUGACAGAUCCUGUAGCUAUUUAUGGAGAGUUUUGGCCUUUCAGCAUCCAAUCCCUUUCAAUCAGGAGGAGUUCUCCACUGCAUAUUAUCUCAGAGGGUCCCAAUGUACCACCUCCUGCUGUAGAUGCCAAAGCUGGCGUGGGGGAAGCAGGAGGUGAGAAUGCAACUCAGGAUCAGUCAACCACAUGGGACCCUGAAUCUUGCAGGAGAGGCAGAAAGAGGCAGAUGUGGUUUAUAAAUUAUUGGCAGUUAUUGAAAGUCUAGAGGUGCGGCAUCGAGUGUCCAGCAUGGUGACAUCUCACUCCAGUGUUCUAAUUACUUUCUCCUGUAGCGAACUGGGCUCUGGUUCCAGCUCCCUGGCCUCCCUUGCUUUCUGUGUAUUUCCUGGGCCUGGCCUUCCAGUCUUUCUGCCUUGCAGUGAAUUUUCCUUUCACCAAGUUAGUCAGACUGGGUUUCUGUUGCUUGCUGCCAAGAACCUUGACAAUGUAGAACAGCGAAGAGAUGUGCUGUCAAGGCCUGAGCAACAGGUUCAACUGGACCCAAGACACGAACACUGUAUGAAAGUUACCCUCCUGCAAGCGACUCGGAAUGUCAAUCCUCCAGUGAGAGAGACAGAGAAUAAAUAAAUGUCUAUACAUAAAUACACACACUCACACGCGCACACAUAUGUCAGGUGGUGACAAGAGUAAAGUACAAUGAAGGAGUAGAGAGUGAGUGGGCAGUAUUUUAGAUGGGGUGGUGAGGGUAGACUGUUUGGAGGAGGGGGUGGUGAGCAGCGGCCUGAAUGGAGUGAAGGAGCAGCCAAGUCGGGUACUCAGAAGAGCCUUCCAGGCAAAGGGAGCCCCAAGAGAAAAGAUGCCGAGGCAAAAAAAAAAAAAAAAAAGUGUCACUUCUGUGUCUCUCCUGCUGGCACUGCUUCCUGGGAGCAGAGACUCUGCCUGUUUUCUUCACAUACACCAAGCCUAGGACACUUUCUGUCAUGUAAAUAUCUGUUCAUGAGUGAACAUCUGCCUGGCACGCAGGGUACAGUUCUUCACACAUCAUUUGCAGGCCUUCCCGAUUUGCCUACAGUGGGGCAUAGGAUGGGAAGGAACUCGUCAGGAGUAGGUUUCAGACAUGGGACCUGGGUGAGACAGGAUAGGUUACCUUAGUUGUCCCCUGAAACUCAAUAUGAUCCUCAUGUAGUUGUCAGGAGGGGUUAUAUUAUUUCAUGUUUGUAAAGGUCUUAGCACCAAGGGCACAGGCCUUUAUGUUCUAGAGGUUGGCUAUUAUUAUUACUAUUCUUACCAAUCAAUAAUAAACUGUAAAUCUAUAUAUAUCUA